GCGGUAAUUAAUGAGCUAAACGAGCUCACAGCCUGACCCUGGGCUCGUACCACUGCUCACUUCACUGCGCUAAGCAAUCCUGCAGAAUUUUGUGCCAGGGGCCCAGCUCUCCAGGAGGAACUGGGAUCAGCCACCAGGAGCAGCCCCGUGGCCACCCCAGUGCCGGUGCCGGUGCUGGGGCUCUCUGGGUGCCCCAGGGCACAAAUCCGGGGGCUCUCCUGGUGCCAAGGCACAAAUCCUGGGGCUCUCCCAGUGCCCCAGGACACAAAUCCCGUCUAUCCCACCACUGCAGGACUGGGGGAAGGGGAGGGAGCGGGGCUAGGCUGGGGUUUUGCAGCGAUUUGAAGCCCAGCUGCCCCAUUUGGCUGCCCCAAGGCAUGGGGUGUUUCCUACCGAUCAUUUCAGCUCCCAGCCCCUCCUUUUUUUUUUUUUCCUUCCCACUCCUCCCUUGUUUUUUGGUCAACCUCUGAACAAAAAGUACUGCUUUGGAAUGACCUUCAUUUUCCAAAGCGAUCGAAAUAACAUUUUUCUGGCAAAGCGUUUGGCUUUGUUGUUUUUUUAAACGCUGCUAGAAAUCGCUUGGCGCUCUCCGAUCCUUCCAGCUUUGCUGCUGGCCACCGCCAAAUCCCCACGGGUUUUGGAGCUGUUUCCACCCUGCUCCAAAUUUCCCUUUUUUUUCUCUCUUUCUUUUUUUUUUUGUUUCUGAGAAGCUUCAGCAAAACAGCUCCGCGUGGGGAAGCACCGUCCCUGCUCCAUCUCCACCCUGACAGAUGUUGCUGGGCUCGGCUGAGAUUUGGGGAGGAAGAAAACGAUCCCGGUCUGCCCCGUGGCUCCCUCAGCCAGGAAAAACCUGUUCCAGGAAGGGUGUGUAGGACGGGGCCGCUGCGGCCGCGCCACCGCCCGCCUCCCCGCCACGAGACGGGGAUGGAGAGGAGCGCGGGGAAGCGGUGCGCCGAAGAUCAAGAGGAAAAUGAUCAAAGGAGGCAUGUGGGCUCAGCCUCCCCUCCCGCUCGCCCUCGAGGAUCCCGUCCUGCCCAGGAGGGAAACUGAGGCAGGAAUCAAGCAGCCCUCUCCCUGGCCCCCUGCACCCCCAGCCCUGCGCAGCUGUGCAGGGGGGGCACGAUGCAGCCCCCCUACUCCCCCAGGGAGCUCUCUGUAGGACGUGGCACGGGAAAGGGACGAGCCCCCUGUGAGGGCCAAGAGGCAGCGGAGAGCUGGAAACUUCCUCGGGUGCCGGCGCAUUUCAUCUGGAAACCUGUUUUAUCUUUAAUAAACGCGAGCACCUGGUCGAACACGGAGGAGAACAUUACUUUUUAAAUAUAAAUCUCGCUCUCUCUCCAGUUUUCACCCAGCGCUGCCCUCCGAGCCGGUGUCGUUAAGGUAAUGGGGUUGGACGGAUGAGAUUUCCCACCCGCUGGCACGGAGACCCCCUCCGUGGGUGGAGGUGACAACAGCGUGGCCCCCGGUGUCCC
rnacentral:lncRNA from 1 species